rnacentral:rRNA from 1 species
GAGGUCCAGCCUGCCCAGUGACUACAAGUUCAACGGCCGCGGUAUUUUGACCGUGCAAAGGUAGCGCAAUCACUUGUCUUUUAAAUAGAGACCUGUAUGAAUGGCUAAACGAGGGCUUAACUGUCUCCCCUUUCCAGUCAGUGAAAUUGAUCUGCCCGUGCAGAAGCGGACAUAAAAAUACAAGACGAGAAGACCCUUUGGAGCUUAAGGUACAAAACUCAACCACGUCAAGCAACUCAAUAAAAAGCAAAAACUUUGUGGAAUAUGAGAUUUUACCUUCGGUUGGGGCGACCACGGAGGAAAACAAAGCCUCCAAGUGGAUUGGGAAAACCUCCUAAAACCAAGAGAGACAUCUCUAAGCCACAGAACAUCUGACCAAACAUGAUCCGGCUACCCGAAGCCGAUCAACGAACCAAGUUACCCUAGGGAUAACAGCGCAAUCCUCUCCCAGAGUCCAUAUCGACGAGAGGGUUUACGACCUCGAUGUUGGAUCAGGACAUCCUAAUGGUGCAGCCGCUAUUAAGGG